rnacentral:rRNA from 1 species
ACUCAAAUGAAUAGACGGGGACCCGCACAAGCGGUGGAGCAUGUGGUUUAAUUCGACGGUAAGCGAGGAACCUUACCCAGUCUUGACAUUUAGCUGCAAGCCCUUAGAGAUAGGGGCCGCCUUCGAGGGUGCUAAACAGGUGCUGCAUGGUUGUCGUCAGCUCGUGGCGUGAGCUGUACGGUUAAGUCCGGUAACGAGCGCAACCCUCGUGCUAUGUUGUUUAUUUCAUAGCAGACUGCCUGCGAAAGCAGGAGGAAGGAGAGGAUGACGUCAAAUCAGCAUGGCUCUUACGACUGGGGCCACACACGUGCUACAAUGGCCGGGACAAUGCGUUGCCAACUCGCAAGAGGGAGCUAAUCGCACCAAACCCGGUCUCAGUUCGGAUUGGAGUCUGCAACUCGACUCCAUGAAGCUGGAAUCGCUAGUAACCGCAAAUCAGCCACGUUGCGGUGAAUACGUUCUCGGGUCUUGUACACACCGCCCGU